UACGGAGGGUGCAAGCGUUGUUCGGAUUUAUUGGGCGUAAAGCGCGUGUAGGCGGUCUCUUAAGUCUGAUGUGAAAGCCCCGGGCUCAACCCGGGAAGUGCAUUGGAUACUGGGAGACUUGAAUACGGGAGAGGGUAGUGGAAUUCCUAGUGUAGGAGUGAAAUCCGUAGAUAUUAGGAGGAACACCGGUGGCGAAGGCGGCUACCUGGACCGAUAUUGACGCUGAGACGCGAAAAGCGUGGGGAGCAAACAGG
rnacentral:rRNA from 1 species